GACCUCUAUCUGCUGAAAGAGAGAGACAAAGUUUAAGACAAAACACAGAAACUUAUUAUUUCCAAUGCCAAUAUGAAAAUAAUCAAUAUAACAUCAUAUAAAGAAGUAAAGGUUAUAAAGUUAUCAUCCCUUCUUGAAGUCAAAACUAACGUCAAAGUAUUUUUUAUAUUUAUUUUUAAUAGUUUUUCAACAAGUUGCUCUGCAGGACAAGAUGUUUGUAAGUUAGAGAAGGAGACUGUAGCAGGAACGCUAAUGUUGUUCAAAGUCUGUGGCUCCUGUUCAGUUCAGUUCAGUUCAGUUCAGUUCAGUUCAGUUCAUUUUUAUAUAGCAUCAAAUCAUAACAGAAGUUAUCUAAAGAUGCUUUUCAUAUAGAGCAGGUUUAGACCGUACUCUAUAAUUUAGAGACCCAACUAAAGCAUGAGCAUGUACUGUUAUGCGACAAAGGCAAGGACAAAUCUCCCCUUUCGUCAGUGUGACUGUCUGUCUGUGAUAGAACAGUG